AUUGAACGCUGGCGGCGUGCCUAAUACAUGCAAGUCGAACGGAGUGGCGCACGGGUGAGUAAUGUAUAGCUAAUCUGCCCUACACUAGAGGGCAACAGUUGGAAAAGACUGCUAAUACUCUAUAGUGUAGGAUGAGGCUAUAUUGUAUCAGCUAGUUGGUGAGGUAAGGGCUCUCUAAGGCUAUGACGAGUAACUGGUCUGAGGGGAUGCGCUGUCACACGUGAACUGAGGCACGUGCCGGACUCCUUCCGGAGGCAGCAGUAGGGAAUAUUGCUCAAUGGGGGAAUACCUGAAGCGGCUUCGCCGCGUGGAGGAUGACACGCUUCGGAGCGUAAACUCCGUUUGUUAGGGAAGCGGUACCUAACGAAUAAGCACCGGCUAACUCCGUGCCAGCCGCCGCGGUAAUAC
rnacentral:rRNA from 1 species